GGAGCAGUAUAAGGCUGAAACUUAUAUGUUUCCCACCAUUCAUUCACUUUCACUUAUUUCUUUUAUAGUCCAUAUAUUUUACAACAGGAUAACCAAUAUACACAACAAUACAUCUCUAGUUUUACACGUACCAAACCCUUUUAUUUAUUUAUUUUACAUUUGAAUUAAGUCA